rnacentral:tRNA from 1 species
UGACUAUGAGCGUAACUGGCUAACGUUGGAGAUUGUGAAACUCCUGAUUCGGGUUCAAGCCCCGAUAGUCACAC